UACGUAGGGCGCAAGCGUUGUCCGGAUUCACUGGGUGUAAAGGGUGCGCAGGCGGGACGACAAGUCAGGGGUGAAAUCUCACGGCUCAACCGUGAAACUGCCUUUGAUACUGUUGUUCUUGAGUUAGGGAGAGGUUGAUGGAAUUCCAGGUGUAGCGGUGAAAUGCGUAGAUAUCUGGAAGAACACCGGUGGCGAAGGCGGUCAACUGGCCCUCAACUGACGCUGAGGCACGAAAGCGUGGGGAUCAAACAGG
rnacentral:rRNA from 1 species